rnacentral:rRNA from 1 species
AACGAACGCUGGCGGCAUGCCUAACACAUGCAAGUCGAACGAGACCUUCGGGUCUAGUGGCGCACGGGUGCGUAACGCGUGGGAACCUGCCCUUAGGUUCGGAAUAACUCCCCGAAAGGGGUGCUAAUACCGGAUAAUGUCUUCGGACCAAAGAUUUAUCGCCUUUGGAUGGGCCCGCGUUGGAUUAGCUAGUUGGUAGGGUAAAAGCCUACCAAGGCGACGAUCCAUAGCUGGUCUGAGAGGAUGAUCAGCCACACUGGGACUGAGACACGGCCCAGACUCCUACGGGAGGCAGCAGUGGGGAAUAUUGGACAAUGGGGGAAAGGCUGAUCCAGCAAGGCCGCGUGAGUGAUGAAGGCAUUAGGGUUGUAAAGCUCUUUUACCCGGGAUGAUAAUGACAGUACCGGGAGAAUAAGCGCCGGCUAACUCCGUG